UCUGAUUGAUUGCUCAAAUAGUUUCCAAAAAAUGGAAUGGCACAGAGAUUUGAAUGGACAAAUUUAACACCCCCAAGAACUAAAAAUGGACCCUAAAGUUAUUUCAGAAAGGGUUUAAGCAAUGUUAGGGUUUAUGCUCUAAGAAGUUACAGAGUCAUCAAUUUGAGAGUGAUUAGUACAAGAUCCUGGCUAAACAUAGGGUUCUUUCAUGUCCAAUCUAUUCAGAUUUCAGGGGUGAUGAAGUAAAGUCCAUAAUGUAUUAUUUCAUUACCGAGAAAAAUAACAUGGUCAAUACAUUUCAUUUUUUGUUAUGUGGUUCUAGUGCUUAAAUAUUUAUUUCUUAUUUAGAAUAUUCAAUAGAGUAGGACAAUUUUUUAAAAUAUCUAAUCGAAUCAACUUUUCAAAUUUUGGUGUUUUGGUUGAAUAUAUUUUGGGGUAAAAUUAUUUCACUAUAAUAUAACCACUGAAUCGACAUGCCUGCUUCAGCCCAUUCUCACUGUUGAAGGGCAUUUUCGUCAUUUUAGGGUUUAUGUCCUGUUCUUAUUUCAAUACACGUGUUCUUAUACGUGGCUUUCAGCCAAAUGCCGUAUGUGUUCAUCUGAAAAAUCUCAUUGUAUGCUUUCUCUCAUAGUAAAUCAAUUUUCUCAUCAUAUCUUCUUAGCUUAAUCAGAGUAGUGCUGUGAAAUUUCCAGGCAAACAAGGAGACUGUUAAGAUCCAGAGAGUGGUUGCUCUGGUGGGUCAAAUGCACAGCUAAAGGACCUAAUGGAAGCCCAUAUGAAACUUGGAAACACAAAGAUGUCGUGUUGCCUGAUUUUUGUAUUUUCAAGUUCCAAUCGUAGCAUAUGAUGUUCUGAGAAGGCAGAUUGACCAGGAUUAUGUACGGAAUUGUUGCUCCGCAACUCCAGCAAUGGCAAAGGAGAAAUGAAUGGAACAAAUGGAUAGAAUAUUAGCUGCAAAAGAGGACUUGUCCAUGCUGCCAUUAGAUGUUUCUAAUUGGUGACACAAUUUUCAUACCUAAAAAGAGUUUUCCUACUUUGGCAGUGGCUAAAUUGAAAAUGGCUAUCUUUCUUUAGAAGCAGAACAAGUCUUUUAGUUCAGUUAAUCUGCUGAAUGAUUAAAAAGUUAAAGCGGUGCAAAUCUUGCUAUCGCCACCAGCUUUACCCUGCUGCUGAUAUCAAUUGUUCUAUCGCAAAUUUUUGAAGCACAGUAAAACACAAACAGCUAUCUUAUUGCCACAACACUGUCUUUUUGAAAAUCUGGAUUAAAAAAAGACGAGCAUACGCGACGCCUCAUGCUUUGAAAAAGUAUUUUGUCAACCAUGGCGUUACACAGCUACAAGAUGACUGCUACCAACAAAAUAGCCGAUUGCAUUACUUUUUAGCUUUUUGCUAGUACCAGCUUCUGUAAAUAUAUAAUAUACAUGAUAUGCACAUAUAUAUGCAUAGACAUUGCAAUCAUCAAUGUAAUAGACAAACAACAUUUGUGUAUAUGUAUUAAUAGUUUACGAUGUGCGUGUUCAUAUUAUUAAUAAUGUACAACAUAUAGACUAUCA